UCAGUAAUAAAAGUCGCGAGCGGCAAGACGGAUCUCCGUGCGAUACAGCGCAGGUGCUUUCAUUUAGCCGUCUCCCGCGGCAGCGGCCAGUCACCGCGCCCGGCACGCGCGCGACUGAUCCGAAAUCACCAGCGCACUGACCUAUAUCGAACGCGCGUUCUUUUUUCGAAAUUCAAAUUCGAAGUUGUUUUUUUUAGUGUCAAUGACAAUAGUGGCCAGAUUUAGGUGCUGAUCUCGAUGCAGCAUUGCUCGAUUUGAGUUUCACAGUUUUCCCGCCAACGAACUGUUUGAUCACAAAAAUAUCGAUGGAGCCUACGAUGCAGCAGUAAGGUGUCGUCAGCAAUGCGCGAGCCCGAGGCGAGCGGCGCAGGCGGCGCGGGCUAGCAUGGCCGCCGCGCUGCUGCUGCUGUGG